rnacentral:misc_RNA from 1 species
GCUCCACCUAUGCUUCAUCUAGCAUAAAGGUCAAGGAUGUGAGAGAAAACAGAGUGAUGUAAUAUCGCAUAUCACAAGAUACUGAGUAGUCAUUAUUCCUAAAAACACUUGCAUAAAAGAAAUGAAAGAAGAAUCAACGGACCCAUAUUGCUACCCUCAUCAAAAGCACUAAAUUUUGCAACUCAGUCACCUAGAAGAGAACGAACUUCUCCAACUCAAUAAUCU